rnacentral:rRNA from 1 species
UAGGGGGCAAGCGUUAUCCGGAUUUACUGGGUGUAAAGGGAGCGUAGACGGCGGAGCAAGUCUGAAGUGAAAGCCCCGGGCUUAACCCGGGAACUGCUUUGGAAACUGUACUGCUAGAGUGCUGGAGAGGUAAGCGGAAUUCCUAGUGUAGCGGUGAAAUGCGUAGAUAUUAGGAGGAACACAAGUGGCGAAGGCGGCUUACUGGACAGUCACUGACGUUGAGGCUCGAAAGCGUGGGGAGCAAA